CACGUAGGGCGCAAGCGUUGUCCGGAAUUAUUGGGCGUAAAGAGCUCGUAGGCGGUUUGUCGCGUCUGCUGUGAAAACGCGAGGCUCAACCUCGCGCCUGCGGUGGGUACGGGCAGACUAGAGUGUGGUAGGGGAGACUGGAAUUCCUGGUGUAGCGGUGAAAUGCGCAGAUAUCAGGAGGAACACCGAUGGCGAAGGCAGGUCUCGUGGCCACUACUGACGCUGAGAAGCGGAAAGCAUGGGGAGCGAACAGG
rnacentral:rRNA from 1 species